UUAUUAUAGAGUAGACUGAAGAAAAAAAAUAUUCUUCUCCUUUCUUUUUCCUUCUUUCUUCCUUCCAUUUUUUUUUUAAAUUAUUUUCUUGCAUUUGAAGCUGGGAAAUUAUGGCUGAUGAUAAGGUAACUAUUUUGCUUUGUGGGUAAUUUUUUUAUUUAUAAAAACAAUAUAAAUGUACUUGUUUAAGUUGUUUUCUUGAGUUUUUGGAGAAUUUAAGGUUGUUGUUUCUUGGAUAUAUUGCUUCUUUAGAUCAUAUAUCAUUACUAAUAUGAGUUUUUGGGUAUUUUUUUUAAUGUACAAAAAGUUCAUAAAUUUACUUGUUUAAGUUGUUUUCUUGAAUUUUUGGAGAAUUUAAGGUGGUUGUUUCUGGGAUAUAUUGCUUCUUUAGAUCAUAUAUCAUUAUACUAAUAUGAGUUUACAUACCAUUUUGCUUUGUUGGUUUUUUUUUAAUGUACAAAAAGUUCAUAACUUUACUUGUUUAAGCUGUUUUCUUGAUUUUUUUGGAGAAUUUAAGGUUUUUUCUUGGAUAAAUUGCUUCUGUAGAUAAUGUUCUAAUGUACAAAUAACAAAAAGUUCAUAACUUUACUUGUUUAGUUGGUUAUUGCUAGUUAAGGGAAUAUUUGUGUUGUUGUCCUUUAGAUCAAAUUUCACUACUAAUCUGAGUUUAAACGCCAUUUUGUUUUAUGUGUAUUUAUUUUUUAUGUACAAAAAGUUUAUAACUUUGCUUAUUAUGUUGGUUUUCUUUCUGCUAGUUUCAUUUUUUGGAAACUUUUAGUGUGAAUAUUUGGGUUGUUGUUUCUUAGAUUCAAGAUUUGGUUUAUUUAAGUAUAUCUAGUUACACAAAUGUUUCUACUAGCUGUUUUCAUAUUUCUUUUAAAGCAAGUGACUCACCUUCUUGAGCCACACGUUUCUUCCUAGAGUAGUCACAAGCUAUAUUAAACGGAGACUUGUUCAGGUAUUUAGGGGGCUGGCGUACAUGCACACUAUUGCCGGCGUUUGCCACAGACAUUUGAAAUUUUUAUUUAAGGGCUUCAAAAUAUAAAGAAGAAAAGUAAUAUCUACAUUAAAGAAAUAUAAUUUUACCUAGCUACAGAAUGUAUUUUUUCCAACGAACAUAUGGCUCCAUCACUGAUCAUAUCAAUUCUAAUUUCACCAAGUCUUUCACGUUUCAAUUAGAAUUGUAAAUAUGGUUCAUAAAUUCCCCUAAUCAGACAAAGACUUGUGCAAGUCAAUCAAGUCUUGCUUUGGUAUGCCAUGUUCCUCUAAUAUGUUAAUUUUACUAACUUAUAUUAUACUCUUGAGAAUUAUUUUUACAUGAUUAAAAUAGUUUAGGGAGAAAAGUUCGAAAUAUAUUUAAAUUUUGGUAAAAUUUGUUGGAACAUGUCUCAAUUUUGGGAGAGUCCUAUCACCCUCUGGAUUAUUUUUUACUGUAUUUCUGUGGCAUAAAUUUGCUUGCUUGACCAUUACAUGAAUGCACGCACACUGUGCACGUAACUGUCUGAAGUGGUCUAGCUAAGCUAUGCUACAGAAAUGCGGUAAAAAAUAAUCUAGGGGGACCAGCGUCCCCGUAAAGUUAAGGCAUGUUCCAACAAAUUUCGUCAAAACUUAUAUAUUUCGAACCUUUUUCCCGAUAGUUUAUAUAGCUAAUCAUAACAUUCUAGUUACUUUUCAUAAAAGUUAAUUUAGCUCAUUUUUAUAUGAGAUGGUAAUAAAAUGAGCUUUUAAUUAUAGUUUAUAAUUUGUUUGAAAUUUUGACUUGUUUUAGAGUAUGUUUUUAUGAACUUUUUUUUUGAUAAAAGAAUACACAAAAUUAAGAGCCAUUUGGAUAGAAUUAAAAUCUGGUCAAAUCUUUUCAUUUUUUUUUUUGGCUUUCCUUUAAGUGUUUAGUAAAAUUAAAAAGUGCUAAAAAAAACCAAAAACUGAUUAAAAAAAAAGUGAGAAGCUGGAGGGUGGGCUUGUUGUUGUUGAUGGAGCUGUUGAUGGUGGUAGUGGUGCUACUGUUGGUGCUAAUGAUGCUCCUCUUACAGUAUUUAAAGCAAACCAUUAUGAGUAUGAUCAUACUGGUUAUACAGAUUUUGCCUCUCCCAGCGAAUGCUCUGCAUGCAAAUGUCAAGACUGCAGAUUUUGCCUCUCCCAGCGAAUACUCUGCAUGCAAAUGUCAAGACUGCAGAUUUUGCCUCUCCCAGCGAAUACUCUGCAUGCAAAUGUCAAGACUGCAGGGCGAAACAUGAUGUAGUGAUUAAUGCUAUUAAUGCAUUAACUUCUUCUGUAAAGGAAUUGACAUCUAAGAGGGGUCUCAUUCCAUCAAAGAGGAUUUUAUUUCAUCAGUCAUCCAAAAAAGUGAAAUUGCAACUCCUCUGUCUGUGUGUUGUACUAAGCAACGUACAAUGUCCAAAGGAGAGCAGCACGAGCUGAAGAAGGUGAAUAUAUUAUAUGUCUUCCAACUGACAAAACAAACAAACACAUAUCUGUUUCAACAGAUGACACAUCUGCUGAAAAUUUUCUAAUAGAUAUAUACAUCUGUUACAACAAUUGACUAACCUGUUGCACCAGAUACUUUAUCUGAUGCAACAUAUGUCUCAUCUAUUUUAGCAAAUCAAACAGCUCUUCGUACAACUUUUAUUUGUACCAACAGACGACCUAUCUGCUGCAACAGAUGAUUCAUAUGUUACAACGGAUGGUUCAUCCGUUGGAAAUUAUCACACAGGAUCUUCCUCAUGUAAAAAUUUGUCCCAACAGUUGAUUCAUUAUUGCAACAAAAAUAAAAUAUGUUUGGGAUAAUUUAAAAUGGGAGGAAGACCUGUUUGAUUUGCUAGAAGAGAUGAGUUAUCCUUUUCUGUUUUGUUGUAUCUCCGUGAUUAGCAUUGACCAAUUCUGGCUUUCCAGGUUGAUAUAGAAGAAGCUACUGCUGAACAAAAUUGACAAUAUUCUACUUUUUUUAUGGAAAUACGGACAACAAAAAGUGUAGAAACCGUACACAAGCGACAAUGAAGAUCCACGACCAGCAAAGCCGAAUUCCAUAGUACCGGAUGAAGAACAACUUGUCCAUACUGAGUAGAUCUUUAUAUCUUGAGCCUGUCAAAGCAAUCCUUGGUAGUAUACUUAAAUUGUUGUUGAUGUAUUUGUUGAGAUCUAUUCCCAUAACAAUUUUUUUACAUUUCAUUUAUUCGUUGACUUAUUUCAGCUAAUUUAUGAAGGCUUCGAUUUAUUUUAUUUUGUCUACAAAUUUAUUUAUUCCUUAGAUUUGAACUUAUUAAUUGAAAAGGAAUACUAGAUUCAAAUAUUGCAACAGAUAAUGUAUCUGUUGCAACAGACGACACAUCUAUUAGAAAAUUCAAACANNNNNNNNNNNNNNNNNNNNNNNNNNNNNNNNNNNNNNNNNNNNNNNNNNNNNNNNNNNNNNNNNNNNNNAAAGAAUAGAUUUAGACAUAUGUUGCAACAGAUGGACUUUAUCUAUUGCAAUAGACGACACAUCUAUUGGAAUAAUCGAACAGAUUUAUACAUAUAUUGUAACAGGUAGGUUAUCUAUUGGAAUUUAUCAAACAUGUCUUCCCACUUUUACAAUAGAUGGACUUUAGAUAAAAACAUUGAGAUACUACAACAGAUGACCAACCUAUUGCAACAGAUAAACUAUAUGUUAGAACAGGUAGGAUAACUGUUACAACGGAUGAAGAAUCUGUUGCAUUAUAAAAAUUCAACUUUUGUUGGACAUAAAAAAUUGCCACUACGUUUAAAAAGGUUAAAGUGAAUUGAAAUAAAAAAGGCACAAUACACCGACGGUGUUCAGUUCAAACACCUAAAAUAAAAUAGGCAUCAAGUAUACAUGUUCAUUUUAAAGAACGUAAAUAAAAUAGGCAUCAAAUGUGUUAGUGUCAGUCCUGGCACAUUUCGCUGACUUGCCGUCACUUGGCCCCCAACGGUCAUUUUUUUCCCACCAUUGUCUUAUAUAUUCAUCUUCCUCCUAAAAUAUAACCCUAAAUUCCCUAAUCUUCUUUUUCAUCGUCAUCUUCUUUUAUCUAUCCAAAUUCUUCAAAUUAUUACUUUCAUUUUUUCCAACUGGCCUUGACAAUGUCGAGCGCAUCUUCCACUAUUUUUUGUGAUAAAGAUUUUCGAUAUUGUAAGUGCGGUCAUGAAGCUCUGUUAAAGACUUCUUGGAAUGAACAAAAUCUGGGUCGUAGGUUUUUUACUUGUAAGAUUUCAAAGGUAAUAUUUUAUUUAUUUAAUUAAUUGAUUAAUUAUUAACUUGUAAUUGUUUUAUAAUUGUGUUCUCUUUUUUAUAGAAAUUGGGUGGAUGCGAUUACUUUGAUUGGUAUGAAGAACGGC
rnacentral:lncRNA from 1 species